GCAGUCGAGCGGAACGAGUUAUCUGAACCUUCGGGGGACGAUAACGGCGUCGAGCGGCGGACGGGUGAGUAAUGCCUAGGAAAUUGCCCUGAUGUGGGGGAUAACCAUUGGAAACGAUGGCUAAUACCGCAUAAUACCUACGGGUCAAAGAGGGGGACCUUCGGGCCUCUCGCGUCAGGAUAUGCCUAGGUGGGAUUAGCUAGUUGGUGAGGUAAUGGCUCACCAAGGCGACGAUCCCUAGCUGGUCUGAGAGGAUGAUCAGCCACACUGGAACUGAGACACGGUCCAGACUCCUACGGGAGGCAGCAGUGGGGAAUAUUGCACAAUGGGCGCAAGCCUGAUGCAGCCAUGCCGCGUGUGUGAAGAAGGCCUUCGGGUUGUAAAGCACUUUCAGUCGUGAGGAAGGUAGUGUAGUUAAUAGCUGCAUUAUUUGACGUUAGCGACAGAAGAAGCACCGGCUAACUCCGUGCCAGCAGCCGCGGUAAUACGGAGGGUGCGAGCGUUAAUCGGAAUUACUGGGCGUAAAGCGCAUGCAGGUGGUUUGUUAAGUCAGAUGUGAAAGCCCGGGGCUCAACCUCGGAAUAGCAUUUGAAACUGGCAGACUAGAGUACUGUAGAGGGGGGUAGAAUUUCAGGUGUAGCGGUGAAAUGCGUAGAGAUCUGAAGGAAUACCGGUGGCGAAGGCGGCCCCCUGGACAGAUACUGACACUCAGAUGCGAAAGCGUGGGGAGCAAACAGGAUUAGAUACCCUGGUAGUCCACGCCGUAAACGAUGUCUACUUGGAGGUUGUGGCCUUGAGCCGUGGCUUUCGGAGCUAACGCGUUAAGUAGACCGCCUGGGGAGUACGGUCGCAAGAUUAAAACUCAAAUGAAUUGACGGGGGCCCGCACAAGCGGUGGAGCAUGUGGUUUAAUUCGAUGCAACGCGAAGAACCUUACCUACUCUUGACAUCCAGAGAACUUUCCAGAGAUGGAUUGGUGCCUUCGGGAACUCUGAGACAGGUGCUGCAUGGCUGUCGUCAGCUCGUGUUGUGAAAUGUUGGGUUAAGUCCCGCAACGAGCGCAACCCUUAUCCUUGUUUGCCAGCACUUCGGGUGGGA
rnacentral:rRNA from 1 species